UCACUUUUCAAAGAUUCUCAGACCUCGUGGCAGGUGGUGUCAAGGUCUGCGAUUCCAGGUUGGACCCAGCUGACGUCUGCAGAAACAGUGCCUGCUCUCAAACCUGCUGCUUCACCUCGCCCCAAGAUCAAGAAGAUCCACUUUCCAGGCUGAAGGCUUCCUGAACGACUUCUCUUGACAACUGACAGUGAUGCCUAAGAAGUGCAGAUUUCAGCUGAAACAUUUCUGUGGUUGCAGUAUUUAGCAGGUUCAUCUGGAUACGGAUUUGAGGGACAGAGGAGAGCGUGCCCUGCAGAUCGCUUACAGGAACCAUCAGGUAACAGUUACUGAAACAAAGGCUGAUCAUAACUGUAUGCGGGAGAUUUUUGCAAGCCAUAACCUCUUUUAAUCAUAUUUUGUCUUUUAAAAUCCAAAUGAGAGAACAUGCGCUUACCCCGACUGGAUCUUCCUCUGCAAGUGCUGUGAGAACUGCAGACUCGCAGCUGGAGCAGCGUGUGUUCACCUGCAGCCCCAUCUGCUGUAGAGGGGUAAGGCGAGUGCCCGUUCAGCGCCGCGCUCCUGCCUGACAACACUGCCCGGAAUUAGCGAGGUUGCGGCUGGACAAGCCUCUGCAAAAGCCGGGAUAUCCGUGAAGUGCCGAGGAAGCUGUUAGCGGAUGCUGCCAGAUCCAGUUCCCACAGAUUGACUCCUCCAGCCCUGAGAAACAAGGGUCUGACCUGCAAGCUGCAAACUCAAGCUCCCUCAGCAUCUCCAGAACUUCGGAGCACGAAAACAACAGACAGUGAACCAGAGCAGACAGUCCUCUCCUGAAAAAGGGGCUUGACGAAAUAGCUCAUCGGCUUCUUUCCGUGAUAACCACAGCAAGUAAGGAGAGUUUAGGAUGGUGUUUUCCUGGUCUCGGCGGCCUAUUUGGGAGCUGUUAACUAAGCGGGCGCUCUUAGUUCCCACGGAGACGGUCGCUGUACGAGCAAGCUUAUUCCCAUCUGGAUUUUGGAAAAUGGCUGAAGCUACUUUUUAUCUAGUACCUGCCAAGACCAUCUCCCAAGGGGAUUUUUCGCAGCAACUGGCACACUGCAGCAUUUGCAGGAAAGCUUUCGGUGCGCUGGCGUCGCGGCGUGGGCAGGUCCCUCUGCACCCGGCCACGCUGCAGGCAAGCGGAGCGCUUCUUGGCCAUUUCCAAAGUGAAGGAAAAUGGCUAGUCCGGAUGUCUCCAAGCUCCUCCGUCCAGCCUGUACGUCUCUGCCUCUGUGCUCUUUAUUCAUGUGGAGGACGGGAAGAGAAGCAAUUGCAAGAAGGCGGCGGUCUUCCUGCAUCUCAGGGGCCCUGGGACCUGGCAGCGUGGGAUACAACUCCCGUGGACGUCUGCAUUUAGCCCAGAGGCUUCGGAUGCUGUUGGCUGCAGCCCAGGAGGUGCUGGAUACAUGGUCGCUGUGAGUCAUUUCUGCUCCUUGGUAGGAUCUGUGAAUGGAAGAAUACCUUCACCUUAUGCUAUGAAAGCUAGGGUCAAGGUGUAGAUUCGCAAUAAGAGAUCGCAACCCAGAAGUGCAAGAGAGGGAGGUGCAGGCGUGGACCUCACGCAGGUCUCCUGCAGGGCUGGCACGCUUCGGAGAGCCCCGGCGGCUUUGUCUCCCUGUUCCUGAGGCUGCCUCCCUCCCCGGGAGCCGGGAGCAAAGCAGUGCAGCGCUGCGGGACCUGGCCGCUCCUUCCCUCCUUCUCCAGGCUGGAAACCCUCUUCUUCUGUGCCUCUGCCUUGGGGCUUCCCCCCCUUUCCCCGCGAUGGGCUAUGGAGAUACGCAGUGACGCAGCAAGGAGAAGGUUUCUCGACGAGGAGGCGUGCUGGACCGCCGUUCCCCGGAGAGAAGCGCGGAGGAGCGUUUCCUUUCUGCGAGCGCACACCGGAUCAGGCCGGGGCCCGUGGCUUUGGAGGUUCUUUGGGACAAUUACUUAAUGCGGAGGGGUUUGCCUUGUCAAGACAAGUUGGCGUUCCCGGUAUUCGGGAAUCAGUUCAGGAUGCUUCUUCCCUUCCCUCUCUUGUAUUUCAGAGCUUAAGAGACAUAACCAGUAAGACCAUUCCCUGAGUGUCGUAUCUCCAUAAGCGUUCAUCUGUCCCCUUGCCCAAAUGUCCGUGCACCACGCUGUUCUUGGUGUAGCAUCCUCCUAAUGCUCGUGCAAGGAAGGGAAGAAUCAUUUUAUCUUCUUCCCAGAUGGGGAAACUUGAGAGGCCAAGGACCAGAUCCCACAAGGUAUUUAGGUGCCUCGCUCGGGCCCUGAUGCAGUUGGGACCGCGGUUAUUUGCACAGCUGAGGAGACCUGCCACGUCUAAUUGAUAGCGGGUUUGAGCCUGAGAGAUGCCAUUCACCGCUGUGCAGCACGUCUGCGCUUUUAUCCCUCUUAAGGUCCGUAUUGGGGCUGUAAAUCUCGCUUUGACCCUCGGCAGACAGGUGAAUCCCACCCAGCACGCUAGAGAGCAGGCGGAAUAGUUCCUCCAAAAGCAUAAUCAUUUUAAGUUUCCUCUGUGAAAAAAUUCAGUCAGAAAGAAGGACUCAGGAUUUAUUUCCUCCCAAUUCAUCCAUUUUCAGCUAAAGUUUUCAAAUGCUGGUGUUGCUGUGGGUAGAUUUCCCCUCCCCGUGCACGUGUACUUUUAGCUGGCCUUGCUUCCCAUUCCCAGUGAUUUAAGAAAGAUUUCUGCCAAGUAACAUAAACAGUAAGUCUUUACAAUUUUUUUUUAAAAAGAUGUUCUCAGGUUUCCCACUCCGUUUUUUCCAGAGAUCACCAGAUAAACAGGCCUCAGGAAAGAUAUACCAGGGAAGGCAACUAUAAAUACUCCAAAAAUGCUGAGAAUAAGCGUCAAGACUUAAUGCAUAGCUAAUGGCCUAAUCUGCAAUUUAAUUGCAAGACAUUUAUCUCCUUGCUUGCUUUCACCAUGGUCCCUCUGGAAUAUCAGUCCUUUAAAGCUUAUUUAUCCUACCCAAGAAAAUUCAUUUCCUAUGUGCCAUAACUGAUUCCUCCCCACUUUUUACAUUAAUGUUUAUUCUUUUAAUAUGACUCAUCAGUGACUGAGUGCUACCAGUGAUGUAGUCUAUGACUGAUGCAGAAGGUGCCUUUAGAUAAAAAGUGCAAAAGUCCUUCCUUGGAGAUAUUCAGAGCUUGUCUAGAAAAAAAUCUCAGCUGAGCUGACGUGUUGGUGAUAGUCUUGCUCAAGCAGGAGGUUGGCUGAGAGACCUCCAGAGGUCCUUUCCCACCGGCAGUCCCGUGGUUCUGUGAAGUCUGGGAGCUGGAAUCCCUGUUUUCGUUUCCCCUUUAAAAUAAAAAUAAUGCUCCACCAGACAUCCAGACUGCAACAAGUGAGCAAACAAACAAACAGAGCCCCAAGCAAGCAAAACCCAAAGAGGACAAAUGAGUUUUGUUUGUGUGUUUUAAUUCCCCAGUUUGUAGCCAGCCUGCCAGUAUGGGAGGCUCUCACACUUCCCCCCUUCCCAGUGCUUUGGCUUUGGCUAUGGCUAGUCGUCUGUGGUCUGAGUGGAGACACAUGUGAGCAUUUGCUAGCUCAGGCUCUAUAAAUUUGCAGCACCUGGCCCAGUGGGGAAAAGGGAACAGCCUGAGAUCUUGGCUAGAGCACACACAACUGUAUCUAAGACCUAGGCUUGGUCUAGUAUCUCUCUAAACCUACUGCAAGUAGCAUGAGGACUUGGAGACAGCCAUUCUGUUUUAAGUUUAAUUUUCCACCUUCAAAAGUAGAAGUGUUUUUCAUGAAGAGUCAAAAUAAUCGUGUCUUCUGAGCCACAUGUGGCAAAGAAGUGAAGGAGUUAAAGAUUUGUGUCAUGUGACCUGGCUUGGAGCGAAGUCCAAUUUCAGCCGCGCUGGGAUCCUCGGGCUGGUCUUCACUGGGAUGGUCCUUGGAGCAAGGAGCCCACCUGGGACGAGGCUGAGGACCAAGGGCCCUGGUUCACUGAGCGGCUGUCUGUGAUCCUGUCUGACAAGUAAUCAAAGGGAAAAAGAGUAAUCCCCAGCACGCUGGCUCAGCGUGCUUCCUACUGCUAAGCUUUGAACUGUAAACACGGCUUUGCGCUUUCCUUAGGCUCGGCGUCGCCAGCGCGAACGCGCCUUCGUGCGGUUCUUCAGCCCGGGCAGCCUGCAGCCAGCGCGCCAUGAGCGCCGCGAGCGACCCAGCCGGCUCUG